AAGUCGUAACAAGGUUUCCGUAGGUGAACCUGCGGAAGGAUCAUUACCGAGUAAGGGUCUCUUCCAUGAGGCCCGACCUCCCAACCCUGUGUCUAAUUAAAUUUGUACGUGUUGCUUCGGCGGACCGGUAGUCCUUAGCCGGACGGCCGCCGGAGGGGAUCAACCUUCCCUCUGGAGAGCGUCCGCCGAUGGCCUCAACCUACCCAACUCUAAUUACCAACAUGAAAUUUUCUGAAUUAAAAAACCUUUGAUAUAAUCAAAAUCAAAACUUUCAACAACGGAUCUCUUGGUUCUGGCAUCGAUGAAGAACGCAGCGAAAUGCGAUAAGUAAUGCGAAUUGCAGAAUUUCCGUGAGUCAUCGAAUCUUUGAACGCACAUUGCGCCCUCUGGUAUUCCGGAGGGCAUGCCUGUUCGAGCGUCAUUAUCCUCUCUCAAACCCCUUCCUGGGUUUGGUGUUGGACCGCGUUGGUGGUUAACUCAACCAACUGGUCUCAAAGACAAUGACGGCGUCCGGGGGACCCUCUUCGCACUGAGCUUCUCGGAGCACGCGUCGAGUUUUCAAGGUCCCUCAGGCCCGGUCACUCCUUUUAUUUUUCUAGGUUGACCUCGGAUCAGGUAGGAAUACCCGCUGAACUUAA
rnacentral:rRNA from 1 species